CGGGUGAGUAACACGUAUCCAACCUGCCGUCUACUCUUGGCCAGCCUUCUGAAGGAAGAUUAAUCCAGGAUGGCAUCAUGAGUUCACAUGUCCGCAUGAUUAAAGGUAUUCCGGUAGACGAUGGGGAUGCGUUCCAUUAGAUAGUAGGCGGGGUAACGGCCCACCUAGUCUUCGAUGGAUAGGGGUUCUGAGAGGAAGGUCCCCCACAUUGGAACUGAGACACGGUCCAA
rnacentral:rRNA from 1 species